rnacentral:rRNA from 1 species
AGUGAACGCUGGCGGUAGGCCUAACACAUGCAAGUCGAACGGCAGCACAGUAAGAGCUUGCUCUUACGGGUGGCGAGUGGCGGACGGGUGAGGAAUACAUCGGCAUCUACUUUUUCGUGGGGGAUAACGUAGGGAAACUUACGCUAAUACCGCAUACGACCUACGUGUGAAAGCAGGGGAUCUUCGGACCUUGCGCGAUUGAAUGAGCCGAUGUCGGAUUAGCUAGUUGGCGGGGUAAAGGCCCACCAAGGCGACGAUCCGUAGCUGGUCUGAGAGGAUGAUCAGCCACACUGGAACUGAGACACGGUCCAGACUCCUACGGGAGGCAGCAGAGGGGAAUAUUGGACAAGGGGCGCAAGCCUGAUCCAGCCAUGCCGCGUGGGUGAAAAAGGCCUUCGGGUUGUAAAUCCCUUUUGUUGGGAAAGAAAAGCAGCAGGUUAAUACCCCGCUGUUCUGACGGUACCCAAAGAAUAAGCACCGGCUAACUUCGUG